ensembl:ncRNA F11E6.20 ncRNA
AGACACCUAAUCAUCGCUUGGUGUACUUUUUUGGAGAGAAGAAAGAAAAAGAAAGUGGUCGGUUUAUGGUUUGGAACGGCGGGCGCAAUGGGCAAAAAUCUGUCCGUUGAAAAAGCUGAUUAGCCACUGUCACCUGAAGCCGAAAAAGAACCGCUUCUUUUGUAAGAAGAAAAGAUAUAAGGCGA